rnacentral:rRNA from 1 species
AAUGAACGUUGGCGGCGUGGAUUAGGCAUGCAAGUCGUGCGGAAAGGCCCCGCAAGGGGUACUCGAGCGGCGAAAGGGACAGUAAUGUGUAGGUACCUACCUCCGGGUUCGGGAUAGCUGCGGGAAACUGCAGGUAAUACCGAAUAACGUCUCCGGACCAAAGGUGUGAUUCCACCUGGGGAGGGGCCGGCAUCCUAAUAGCUUGGUGGCGGGGUAACGGCCCACCAAGGCGACGAUGGGUAGCGGGUGUGAGAGCACCACCCGCGUCAUUGGGACUGAGACACUGCCCAGACACCUACGGGUGGCUGCAGUCGUGAAUCUUCGGCAAUGGGCGCAAGCCUGACCGAGCGACGCCGCGUGCGGGAUGAAGGCCUUCGGGUUGUAAACCGCUGUCGUAGAGGAGGAAAUGCAGGGGGGUUCUCCCCUCUGUUUGACCUAUUCUAGGAGGAAGUACGGGCUAAGUUCGUGCCAGCCGCCGCAGUAA